ACCAACAGGAGAAUCAUUUCUAUAGUAUUUGUCCUCUUUUGUGUUCCCUAAAGGAGCCACAGAUCCCACCCGGGUUGAUGAUCCAUAUCCUCGUUUCCCAACAGUGAGAUCCAUAUUAUUUACUCUCGAUCUGCCUGAAAAGGUGGCGGUCACUCCGUGAGGGGAGGCUGUAUAGAGAGUGGCGAUGAUCUGUACCCUGCCUUCGAGGUCUUGCCUUUGGGCGCUUGAGCAGGGUGGGUUUCGAUGGAAGUCUGACCGGC
rnacentral:snoRNA from 1 species